GAGUUUGAUCCUGGCUCAGAACGAACGCUGGCGGCAUGCUUAACACAUGCGAGUCGAACGAGAUCUUCGGAUCUAGUGGCGCACGGGUGAGUAACGCGUGGAAAUCUGCCAUUCUGUACGGAAUAACGCUUGGAAACGAACGCUAAUACCGUAUACGCCCUACGGGGGAAAGGUCCGCCGCAGAAUGAGGAGUCCGCGUCCGAUUAGCUAGUUGGUAGGGUAAUGGCCUACCAAGGCGACGAUCGGUAGCUGGUCUGAGAGGAUGAUCAGCCACACUGGGACUGAGACACGGCCCAGACUCCUACGGGAGGCAGCAGUGGGGAAUAUUGGACAAUGGGGGCAACCCUGAUCCAGCAAUGCCGCGUGUGUGAUGAAGGCCCUAGGGUUGUAAAGCACUUUCAAUGGUGAAGAUGAUGACGGUAACCAUAGAAGAAGCCCCGGCUAACUUCGUGCCAGCAGCCGCGGUAAUAAGGGCGA
rnacentral:rRNA from 1 species